rnacentral:rRNA from 1 species
AUGGAGAUGGAUCCACCACCCAAAAUGCUUGCCUCUCUCACAAUAACCAUACUGAUGAUGAUGAUGGCCACCUCCGUCGCACUUGCGUCGUCGGAUGCAGCGGUGCUCGAAGGACAAGCAAGAGCGCUCCUCGACUGGAAAGCCAGCCUUGACAACCAAAGCCAAAGAGCACUGCACUCUUGGGGCAACACGUCGACGCCCUGCAAUUGGCGUGGCAUCACCUGCGGUACCGGUAUGCACCGGCACCCGCUAGUGAUCAAAGGCAUCUUUCUGCAGGGGAUGCGGCUAAGAGGGGCUCUGGAGUCCCUCAACUUCUCUACCUUGAGGACCUUGACACGCCUCGACCUCUCACACAACCUCCUUGCUGGGAGCAUUCCUCGUAGUAUCGAGGUCCUUGGCGAGCUCCAUGCUCUCCUUCUGCAAGGCAACCAGAUAAGAGGCUCAAUCCCACUAGGUCUAGGAAAUCUCACAAAAUUGCAUUCCUUAAUGCUUCACGAAAAUGAACUUUCCGGUGAAAUACCAAGCCAAAUAGGCAACAUGAGUAGUCUUGUCACCCUCAACUUGUCAAGCAAUCACUUGGUUGGUCAUAUCCCUUGUGAAAUAGGACACAUGAAGCACUUAGUUGCAUUAGAUUUGUCCAGUAAUAAUCUUUUCGGUAAAAUACCAAGCAGCAUAGGUGGUUUGACCGAACUCACUAGCUUGUACCUUUACAGUAACAAACUUUCUGGACAAAUUCCACGAGAACUAGGUUAUCUUCUAAACUUAAAGGACCUGCAACUUGGCAUCAACACGCUCUCAGGUUCCAUUCCACGAAAUUUACAUAAUUUGACCAAGCUUACUGUGUUAAUACUAUGGGGAAACAAACUUUCUGGGUUAAUUCGACAAAAAAUAGAUUACCUUUCAAAUUUACAGUACCUGAGUCUUGGUGAAAACAUACUCUUGGGUUCCAUCCCAAAUAGCAUAGGAAAUUUGACCAAACUCACAACCUUGUCCCUUCGCAACAACCAACUUUCUGGGUUAAUUCCACAAAAAAUAGAUUACCUUUCAAAUUUAGAGUACCUGAGUCUUGGUGAAAACAUACUCUCGGGUUCCAUCCCAAAUAGCAUAGGAAAUUUGACCAAACUCACAACCUUGUCCCUUCGCAACAACCAACUUUCUGGGUUAAUUCCACAAGAAUUGGAGUACCUUGCAAACUUAGAGUACCUAGAUCUUAGUGAAAACAUACUCUGGGGCUCCAUCCCAAAUAGCAUAGUAAAUUUGACCAAACUCACAAUAUUGUACCUUUACAACAACAAACUUUCUGGACACAUCCCUCGAGAACUAGGUCGCCUCGUGAACUUAAAGGAUUUGGAGCUUAGCAUCAACACACUAACUGGUUCCAUCCCAAAUAGCAUAAGAAAUUUGACCAAACUCACAACCUUGUACCUUGACAACAACCAUAUUUCUGGCCACGUCCCUCGAGAACUAGGUCGCCUUGUGAACUUAGAGGUUUUGUAUCUUGGCCCUAACACGCUAACUGGUUCCAUCCCAAAUAGCAUAAAAAAUUUGACCAAACUCAUAGACUUGUACCUUUUCGGCAACCAACUUUCUGGACACAUCCCUCGAGAAUUAGAUUACCUUGAGAAGUUAGAGGAGUUGGAUCUUAGCAACUAA